GAUGAACGCUGGCGGCGUGCCUAAUACAUGCAAGUCGAGCGAACAGACGAGGAGCUUGCUCCUCUGACGUUAGCGGCGGACGGGUGAGUAACACGUGGAUAACCUACCUAUAAGACUGGGAUAACUUCGGGAAACCGGAGCUAAUACCGGAUAAUAUAUUGAACCGCAUGGUUCAAUAGUGAAAGACGGUUUUGCUGUCACUUAUAGAUGGAUCCGCGCCGCAUUAGCUAGUUGGUAAGGUAACGGCUUACCAAGGCAACGAUGCGUAGCCGACCGGAGAGGGUGAUCGGCCACACUGGAGGUGAGACACGGUCCAGACUCCUACGGGAGGCAGCAGUAGGGAAUCUGCCGCAGUGGGCGAAAGCCUGACGGAGCAACGCCGAGUGAGUGAUGAAGGUCUUCGGAUCGUAAAACUCUGUUAUUAGGGAAGAACAAAUGUGUAAGUAACUAUGCACGUCUUGACGGUACCUAAUCAGAAAGCCACGGCUAACUACGUG
rnacentral:rRNA from 1 species